AGACGUCUACAUUAGAUACCCGGGUAGUCCCAGCCGUAAACUAUGCGCGUUAGGUGUAUCGGUGACCACGAGUCACCGAGGUGCCGAAGGGAAACCGUGAAACGUGCCGCCUGGGAAGUACGGUCGCAAGGCUGAAACUUAAAGGAAUUGGCGGGGAGCACCACAACGGGUGGAGCCUGCGGUUUAAUUGGACUCAACGCCGGGAAGCUCACCGGAUAAGACAGCGGAAUGAUUGCCGGGCUGAAGACUCAGCAUGACUAGCUG
rnacentral:rRNA from 1 species